UCUCUCUCUCUCUCUCUCUCUCUCUCUCUCUCUCUCUCUCUCUCUCUAUAUAUAUAUAUAUAUAUAUAUAUAUAUAUAUAUAUAUAUGUAGUCCGGCUGGGAUACUAUCGAUAACACCAUAUAUUUUGUGCUAUCAAAUUUUCUGCCCGUCGUUAGAAUUAAUCCUUUCACUAUUUACACCCGUUAGAUUAUACUAUUAAACCACCAACUUAUUCAACCCUAGGAGGCCCAUAUCCGUAUCCCAUUUUUUUUAUCAUUUCCUUUCUUUUUAAAUAAAUGUUAAAAAAUAUUGACUGAACUGUUGGAGGAUUGGUAAAAUUACAACCUUUU
rnacentral:lncRNA from 1 species